rnacentral:rRNA from 1 species
AGAGUUUGAUCAUGGCUCAGGAUGAACGCUGGCGGCGUGCUUAACACAUGCAAGUCGAACGCUGAAGCCCCAGCUUGCUGGGGUGGAUGAGUGGCGAACGGGUGAGUAACACGUGAGUAACCUUCCCUUGACUCUGGGAUAAGCCCGGGAAACUGGGUCUAAUACCGGAUACGACCUCCUGCCGCAUGGUGUGGGGGUGGAAAGAUUUAUCGGUUUUGGAUGGACUCGCGGCCUAUCAGCUUGUUGGUGAGGUAAUGGCUCACCAAGGCGACGACGGGUAGCCGGCCUGAGAGGGUGACCGGCCACACUGGGACUGAGACACGGCCCAGACUCCUACGGGAGGCAGCAGUGGGGAAUAUUGCACAAUGGGCGCAAGCCUGAUGCAGCGACGCCGCGUGAGGGAUGACGGCCUUCGGGUUGUAAACCUCUUUCAGUAGGGAAGAAGCGAAAGUGACGGUACCUGCAGAAGAAGCGCCGGCUAACUACGUGCCAGCAGCCGCGGUAAUACGUAGGGCGCGAGCGUUAUCCGGAAUUAUUGGGCGUAAAGAGCUCGUAGGCGGUUUGUCGCGUCUGCCGUGAAAGUCCGGGGCUUAACCCCGGAUCUGCGGUGGGUACGGGCAGACUAGAGUGCAGUAGGGGAGACUGGAAUUCCUGGUGUAGCGGUGAAAUGCGCAGAUAUCAGGAGGAACACCGAUGGCGAAGGCAGGUCUCUGGGCUGUUACUGACGCUGAGGAGCGAAAGCAUGGGGAGCGAACAGGAUUAGAUACCCUGGUAGUCCAUGCCGUAAACGUUGGGCACUAGGUGUGGGGGACAUUCCACGUUUUCCGCGCCGCAGCUAACGCAUUAAGUGCCCCGCCUGGGGAGUACGGC